CAGGCCAUCCGGAGAGAUCCGGUGUUUCCUUCGGGAACCUGCACACAGGUGCUGCAUGGCUGUCGUCAGCUCGUGUCGUGAGAUGUUGGGUUAAGUCCCGCAACGAGCGCAACCCACGUCCUCAGUUGCCAUCAUUCAGUUGGGCACUCUGGGGAGACUGCCGGUGAUAAGCCGCGAGGAAGGUGUGGAUGACGUCAAGUCCUCAUGGCCCUUACGGGCUGGGCUACACACGUGCUACAAUGGCGGUGACAGAGGGAUGCCAACCCGCGAGGGUGCGCAAAUCUCCAAAAGCCGUCUCAGUUCGGAUCGUACUCUGCAACUCGAGUGCGUGAAGUUGGAAUCGCUAGUAAUCGCGGAUCAGCACGCCGCGGUGAAUACGUUCCCGGGCCUUGUACACACCGCCCGUCACACCAUGGGAGUUGGUUCUACCCGAAGGCGUUUCGCCAACCGCAAGGAGGCAGGCGACCACGGUAGGGUCAGCGACUGGGGUGAAGUCGUAACAAGGUAAGCGUAGCGAG
rnacentral:rRNA from 1 species